CCUACGGGUGGCAGCAGUGGGGGAUAUUGCACAAUGGGGGAAACCCUGAUGCAGCGACGCCGCGUGAGGGAAGAAGUAUUUCGGUAUGUAAAGCUCUAUCAGCAGGGAAGAAAAUGACAGUACCUGACCAAGAAGCCCUGGCUAACUACGUGCCAGCAGCCGCGGUAAUACGUAGGGGGCAAGCGUUAUCCGGAGUUACUGGGUGUAAAGGGAGCGUAGGCGGUUAUGUAGGUCUGGAGUGAAAGCCCGGGGCCAAACCACGGGACUGCUUUGGAAACUGUGUAACUGGAGUACAGGAAGGGCAGGCGGAAUUCGUGGUGUAGCGGUGAAAUGCGUAGAUAUCAGGAGGAACACCGGCGGCGAAGGCAGCCUGCUGGACUGAAACUGACGUUGAGGCUCGAAGGCGUGGGGAGCGAACAGGAUUAGAUACCCGGGUAGUC
rnacentral:rRNA from 1 species